rnacentral:rRNA from 1 species
UACGUAGGGUGCAAGCGUUAAUCGGAAUUACUGGGCGUAAAGCGUGCGCAGGCGGCUUUGCAAGACAGAUGUGAAAUCCCCGGGCUCAACCUGGGAACUGCAUUUGUGACUGCACAGCUGGAGUGCGGCAGAGGAGACUGGAAUUCCUGGUGUAGCAGUGAAAUGCGUAGAUAUCAGGAGGAACACCGAUGGCGAAGGCAGGUCUCUGGGCUGACACUGACGCUCAUGCACGAAAGCGUGGGGAGCAAACAGG